rnacentral:rRNA from 1 species
UACGUAGGGUCCGAGCGUUGUCCGGAAUUACUGGGCGUAAAGAGCUCGCAGGUGGUUUGUCGCGUUGUUCGUGAAAACUCACAGCUCAACUGUGGGCGUGCGGGCGAUACGGGCAGACUGGAGUACUGCAGGGGAGACUGGAAUUCCUGGUGUAGCGGUGGAAUGCGCAGAUAUCAGGAGGAACACCGGUGGCGAAGGCGGGUCUCUGGGCAGUAACUGACGCUGAGGAGCGAAAGCGUGGGGAGCGAACAGG